rnacentral:rRNA from 1 species
UACGUAGGGUGCGAGCGUUGUCCGGAAUUAUUGGGCGUAAAGGGCUCGUAGGCGGUCUGUUGCGUCGGGAGUGAAAACUCAGGGCUUAACCCUGAGCCUGCUUCCGAUACGGGCAGACUAGAGGUAUGCAGGGGAGAACGGAAUUCCUGGUGUAGCGGUGAAAUGCGUAGAUAUCUGGAGGAACACCGGUGGCGAAGGCGGCAUCCUGGACCGACACUGACACUGAGGAGCGAAAGCCAGGGGAGCAAACGGG